rnacentral:tRNA from 1 species
CCGCCAUUAGCUCAGCAUGGCUAGAGCAUUGCUUUAUCAGUAAGUAGGGUCGGGGUUCGAGUCCUCGAUGGCGGCCCA